rnacentral:rRNA from 1 species
UACGGAGGGUGCGAGCGUUGUCCGGAAUCACUGGGCGUAAAGGGCGCGUAGGCGGCGCGGGGAGUCAACGGUGAAAGCUCGGCGCUCAACGCCGAGUCGGCCGUCGAUACUCCCGUGCUCGAGCACUGUAGAGGCAGGUGGAAUUCCGGGUGUAGGCGGUGGAAUGGCGUAGAUAUCGGGAGGAACGACCGGUGGCGAAGGCGGUUCUCUGGGCCUGUAC